rnacentral:rRNA from 1 species
GCUCAGGACGAACGCUGGCGGCGUGCCUAAUACAUGCAAGUCGAGCGGACAGAAGGGAGCUUGCUCCCGGAUGUUAGNGGCGGACGGGUGAGUAACACGUGGGUAACCUGCCUGUAAGACUGGGAUAACUCCGGGAANCCGGAGCUAAUACCGGAUAGUUCCUUGAACCGCAUGGUUCAAGGAUGAAAGACGGUUUCGGCUGUCACUUACAGAUGGACCCGCGGCGCAUUAGCUAGUUGGUGGGGUAAUGGCUCACCAAGGCGACGAUGCGUAGCCGACCUGAGAGGGUGAUCGGCCACACUGGGACUGAGACACGGCCCAGACUCCUACGGGAGGCAGCAGUAGGGAAUCUUCCGCAAUGGACGAAAGUCUGACGGAGCAACGCCGCGUGAGUGAUGAAGGUUUUCGGAUCGUAAAGCUCUGUUGUUAGGGAAGAACAAGUGCGAGAGUAACUGCUCGCACCUUGACGGUACCUAACCAGAAAGCCACGGCUAACUACGUGCCAGCAGCCGCGGUAAUAC